UGUACGAUACGAGUUUGAUCCUGGCUCAGGAUGAACGCUAGCGGCAGGCUUAAUACAUGCAAGUCGAGGGGCAGCGCGGGUAGCAAUACCUGGCGGCGACCGGCAAACGGGUGCGGAACACGUACGCAACCUUCCCAUAACUGGUGAAUAGCCCUCCGAAAGGAGGAUUAAUACACCGUAAGAUAACGAAGAGGCAUCUCUUUGUUAUUAUAGCUACGGCGGUUUUGGAUGGGCGUGCGCCUGAUUAGGUAGUUGGCGGGGUAACGGCCCACCAAGCCUACGAUCAGUAACUGGUGUGAGAGCACGACCAGUCACACGGGCACUGAGACACGGGCCCGACUCCUACGGGAGGCAGCAGUAAGGAAUAUUGGUCAAUGGACGCAAGUCUGAACCAGCCAUGCCGCGUGAAGGAUGAAGGUCCUCUGGAUUGUAAACUUCUUUUAUCUGGGACGAAAAAGGGCUUUCUAGCUCACUUGACGGUACCAGAGGAAUAAGCACCGGCUAACUCCGUG
rnacentral:rRNA from 1 species